rnacentral:lncRNA from 1 species
UUCUUUAUUUUUUUUUUCUUUCUUUCUCUUACUCCUCUCUGUUUCUUUCUCCGCAUGCACGAAUGCCUUUUUUUUUUCUCCUUUCAUUUCUUCUCCUCUCUCUAUCCUUCUCUCUUUCCUUUUUCUUUCCAUUCUCCUUCCCUUCUCUUUCUCUUCUUCUUUCCUUUUUUUUCCCCCUCCUCUUCUCCUUUCUCUUCUCUGUUCUCACACCCGAUCCUUUAAUAUAUUUUUUUCUUUUCUUUCUCUC